AGCAGCCGCGGUAAUUCCAGCUCCAAUAGCGUAUAUUAAAGUUGUUGCAGUUAAAAAGCUCGUAGUUGAAUUUCGGGAUCAGUUGAUCGGUCGUGCCUCGGUACGUACUGGUCAAAUUGAUUCCUACCUUCUGACGAACCACGAUGUCAUUAAUUUGAUGUCGCGGGAAAUCAGGACUGUUACUUUGAAAAAAUUAGAGUGUUUAAAGCAGGCUCGCGCUUGAAUACAUUAGCAUGGAAUAAUGAAAUAGGACGUUUGAUUCUAUUUUGUUGGUUUCUAGGAUCGACGUAAUGAUUAAUAGGGAUAGUUGGGGGCAUUAGUAUUCAAUUGUCAGAGGUGAAAUUCUUGGAUUUAUUGAAGACUAACUACUGCGAAAGCAUUUGCCAAGGAUGUUUUCAUUAAUCAAGAACGAAAGUUAGGGGAUCGAAGACGAUCAGAUACCGUCGUAGUCUUAACCAUAAACUAUGCCGACUAGGGAUCGGAUGGUGUUAAUUUUUUAAUGACUCAUUCGGCGCCUUAC
rnacentral:rRNA from 1 species